CUACUUCCGCUAAGUACUUAGCCAUGCUUGAGCGGUCAAUUUCGGUCUCAGCUAUUAGUCAAUAUUGGUCCAUAUCUCUUUAAUAAACAACAGUUAAACUUGAGACAAGCUGCAGACUAAUAUAGUACCGUGGUUAAAACGUUGAUUAAGGUACAACUUCAACCCGACUCUGCCUCCAGAAGCCCCCAGUUCAAACCUCUUCCAGAUGGUGGCGAUGAACCCCCACACACCGCCCGCAGGCAGAACCAAUCCCCAUGCAGAUGUGCUAAAAGCUCACACCCGCAAAAGACAUACCAAUUUUAGAACAAACCAACUCUAUCCAUCCAUCCUUUCAUCAAGGCUUACCUGUGCUCCUCUCACGACGUACUGUCUGCGUGGGGUGGAGGGCCAGUUGGUCGUAGUGUUCAAAAAAAGAGGACGUCUCAGGAGAGAAACACAAGAAGAGGGGAAAAAGAAACAGACAGGGGGAGGAGAAAGAGAGGCAGACUGGGGGGAGAUGAAGAAACAGAAAAAGGAGGAGGAGAAGAGGAGGAUGGCGACUGAGCAGAAGGGAAUUGAAAAGAUGGUAUGGAUGGAAGUGUGCAAAAAUGAUAACAGGUGUCACCUUUUGUGAACAUCUCUAUGAUUCAUAUCACCUUGGUAUGUUAGAAAAAGUUGUAAAACAUGACAAUAAUUGUCCAGAAAAGUAUUCUACAACAUUGAAGGUCGCAAUUGAUUUCACGUGGGUUUGCCUGGGAUUUUUUUUAUACCACAUCCAUUUAAAAAGCACAAUUGAACAGGGGUCUGGGGUUGUUUUUACAAUCCAAAUGCCUCCCCCAUUUGCC